GUGAGGAAACUAAGAUAGAUAAAGACCAGGUGAACUGUCCAAAUGACACAGCUACCCUGGGGCUGGCAAACUCCAAACGCUUUUAACCUUGGUCCUACAGAGGAGUGGUGCAGCAGAUCCAGAGGCACCUUCAGCUGUGUAGCAGAAGUGGAGAUGUUUUUAACAUGCCAGAGCUAUGCCUUUUGCCAGACCCACCCAGCAGGCAUGCAGAAAGACAGCACUGCUGAUGCCUAUAUCCAGUUUCAUCCUUCAAUUAGUGAUUUGCUUUCCCUUACAAUCCAAGUGCUGGUGGAAUUAACCUCAGCUAAUUAUCACUGAUGGACUGAUCUUUCUGUGAAGCCUAGAAAGCAAGGCUGUCAUAUUUUGCCUGAGAUUUGCAUACACAUUUCCUCUGUGAUCCGAUUGCUCAGUUUUGGAAGUCUGCUUUAAGGUUCCAACAGGCUUAAUUUCACACAAGUUUAAUAGAUUGCAAGAUGCAGGAACAGCAUCUGUGUAAAAUAAGCUUUAGGUGUAUUUGGAAGGAGACAAACUGAGUUAUAAAUGCUUGUUGGACAUGGUUUGAAACUUUGAGUCUGGGUUGAUGAUCAUUAGUCAGAUAUUGCUAUAUUUUACUUUGUGGCUUUUGGGUUUUUUCCUGUAGAGACUUAAGAGGAAAACUCACCUACUAUCCUUACUUCACUUCUUGAUUUUCUUGUGAGGGCAGUGAGAUCUUGUUUGUAAUGUACCUCAUUGGGGCAAAGUAAAUCCUUCCUGAUGGUACAGGGUUCAGGUAGCUGCAGAGCUGAAACAAUCCACAUAAACAAAGAGCCCAUGGCUGCCUGCAGUGCAGCUCCGUAAAAUAUCCUUUGUAGAUCCAAGCUCUGCUCUCUUGCACAGAAUGAAUUACUUGCAUGUUCCCACUUUAAGCAUUUCAUAGACUUAACCACCAUAAAAAGUAGCAUUUUAGGGAAAUUUGUAUCUUAUCUCUAUAAUUUACACCAUUUUUCAGUAAAAUGACGCUUUAUCUG
rnacentral:lncRNA from 1 species